rnacentral:rRNA from 1 species
GACGAACGCUGGCGGCACGCCUAACACAUGCAAGUCGAACGGACGAGAAAGAGCUUGCUCUUUCGAGUUAGUGGCGGACGGGUGAGUAACACGUGAGCAACCUGCCUCUGAGAGUGGAAUAACGUACUGAAAAGGACGCUAAUACCGCAUAACAUAUAUUUGCCGCAUGACAGAUAUAUCAAAGAUUUAUCGCUCAGAGAUGGGCUCGCGUCUGAUUAGCUAGAUGGUGAGGUAACGGCCUACCAUGGCAACGAUCAGUAGCCGGACUGAGAGGUUGAACGGCCACAUUGGGACUGAGACACGGCCCAGACUCCUACGGGAGGCAGCAGUGGGGAAUAUUGCACAAUGGGCGCAAGCCUGAUGCAGCGAUGCCGCGUGAGGGAAGAAGGUUUUCGGAUUGUAAACCUCUGUCUUCAGGGACGAUAAUGACGGUACCUGAGGAGGAAGCUCCGGCUAACUACGUGCCAGCAGCCGCGGUAACAC